AAUAAAAUUAUAUAUAUAUAUAUAUGUUUUUUAUAAUUAUGUCAAAUAAAAUUAUAUUAUGUUAAAUUAUAUUAUAUAUUUUAUAUCUUGUUAAACAAUAGCUAAUUAUUAUUUUAUCAAUCUCGCAUUACCAUUAUAUUACCAUUAUACCAAAUUUGUAUGAUAUGAUUAUAUUAUUAUAAUAUGUUUCUUAGUACUCAUAUUUAUUAUUAUAUUUACACUUUUAUGUGCAUUAUUUUUGUAGUUGUAG
rnacentral:lncRNA from 1 species